GGUACAGAGGGAUGCUACCGGGCGACCGGAUGCGGAUCUCGAAAGCCUGUCCCAGUUCGGACUGGAGUCUGCAACCCGACUCCACGAAGUUGGAUUCGCUAGUAAUCGCGCAUCAGCCAUGGCGCGGUGAAUACGUUCCCGGGCCUUGUACACACCGCCCGUCAAGCCAUGGGAGCCGGGGGCGCCUGAAGUCCGGGACCGCGGGGACCGGCCUAGGGCGAAACUGGUAACUGGGGCUAAGUCGUAACAAGGUAUC
rnacentral:rRNA from 1 species